UUAAAAACACCUUUGUUUGAAAUUCUUGCCUUCUGGGUCCUUCAGGAAAAGAGGUUUUCUUUCUUCUCCAUCUUAUUCACAAAGGGCACAUUUCACACGCUAAACGUGACGAUUCUUUAAAAAGGAGACAGAUGGGAAACCGUGGAUGGUCCAGAAAGGAGAAACGUGACACCGACCUGACACAGGAAGGCGUUGUGUGUGAGGUGAACCGGCUCCUGAUCCGCUCUCCAUCCUCCCAGAGGGAACCCACGGGACAAGACAGGGUGUGGGUGCUGAAGGGAGGCGGCUGUGGGGAGUUUCACAGACACACACAGACAAGGGAACAGCAGGCUGCCGAGGUCCUCGUCCUCGAAAGCUUGAUUCACUUUCUACGAUAAUUAAAAGAAGUGUGCAAAAGGAAUAUGAGCAGUCUCAAAAGGGCAGACACUGGGGGCUGCUGGUAGAUGCCCUCGGUUCCCUGACCCUGAGGGCAGCACGUGUGGUCCUGGUUCCGGUGGGUCAAUGUGCGGCUCAGAAGGGCCUCAGCUGCAGCUUGACCACCAGUUAUGCAGACAAAGACCUGACUCUGUGCAGUCACAGCUGCUCUGAACCCAGGCUCCAGGACAGCAUCGCACGAUUGCCCAAGAUGGUUAAAUGUAACAUCUGCAAGAUGUCACAAGUCACCUCUUUUGGGAGACAGUCUGAGCCUAAUUCUAAUGCCAAAGGGCGCCGGCGAGACUUGUGAGGCUAAUGUCCAGCAGAUACUGAAUUCCAGGUCAGCAAGCACGGCCUGCUGAGCUGACCUUGCCCCAGAGCCAUGGUUAGAAUGAAGAAGGCAGGUGAGAGCUGAUGUGCUGUUGGCAGCCCCAGGGGUGCAGGGGGCAGUUCGACCUGCAGUCUUGAGUCUGAAGGUGUCUGGAGGCAAAAGUCCCUCUUCCUUGGAAACCUCAGUUUUUGUCCUGAUUGGAUGAGGCCCACCACAUUAUGAAGAGCAAUCAGCUUUAUUCAAAGUCACUGAUUUAAAUGUUAAUUAAAUUUGAAAAACACCUUCAUAGCAAAAUCUAGGCUCAAUUGACCAAACAACCGAGCUGAUUUGAC